rnacentral:rRNA from 1 species
GGGAAAGCGAGCGGCGGAUGGGUGAGUAACACGUGGGGAACCUGCCCCUAAGUCUGGGAUACCAUUUGGAAACAGGUGCUAAUACCGGAUAAUAAAGCAGAUCGCAUGAUCAGCUUUUGAAAGGCGGCGUAAGCUGUCGCUAAGGGAUGGCCCCGCGGUGCAUUAGCUAGUUGGUAAGGUAACGGCUUACCAAGGCGACGAUGCAUAGCCGAGUUGAGAGACUGAUCGGCCACAUUGGGACUGAGACACGGCCCAAACUCCUACGGGAGGCAGCAGUAGGGAAUCUUCCACAAUGGACGCAAGUCUGAUGGAGCAACGCCGCGUGAGUGAAGAAGGUUUUCGGAUCGUAAAGCUCUGUUGUUGGUGAAGAAGGAUAGAGGUAGUAACUGGCCUUUAUUUGACGGUAAUCAACCAGAAAGUCACGGCUAACUACGUGCCAGCAGCCGCGGUAAUACGUAGGUGGCAAGCGUUGUCCGGAUUUAUUGGGCGUAAAGCGAGCGCAGGCGGAAAAAUAAGUCUAAUGUGAAAGCCCUCGGCUUAACCGAGGAACUGCAUCGGAAACUGUUUUUCUUGAGUGCAGAAGAGGAGAGUGGAACUCCAUGUGUAGCGGUGGAAUGCGUAGAUAUAUGGAAGAACACCAGUGGCGAAGGCGGCUCUCUGGUCUGCAACUGACGCUGAAGGCUCGAAAGCAUGGGUAGCGAACAGGAUUAGAUACCCUGG